CGCCCACAUCACCUCCCCAGCUCUUCAAAGACCGCCGUCUUCCUCCUGGGUGCCUGGGUGUAUCUUACCAGCUCCCCAGCAUUGCCCGGCUGUGCCGUGAGUGGACUAUGCUCCCGAUGAAAUCCCUGCCGGCGUUUUGUUCAGUCUCCAGGGCAGGGCUCUUGUGUACUCUCCGGCACCCUCUGUGGGUUUCCGCUCUGCAGCCCUGAAGGCUGAUUAAGGGACACUUUCCAAACCACAGGGCCCUCCCUUUGUCAGUGUCCCACACUCUUUUGUCGCCUGCGUUAUCCCCUCAUUUCAGUCUGUAUGCGAUCUCAUAUUUCAAACGGUCUUCAGUUUUCUAAAAUUCUAUAGAUUUCCGCCACUUAGUCUUUUCUAGACUUAUUUUUAAUUUUCUUCUUGUAAAUUCACAUUAUUCUUGUUAUCUACAAACAAGCUAGUCGUUUCCUUUUUUCUUCGUUAGUCUUUGCUCUUCCUGAGUAUUUGCUAAUAGCCUUGGUCUUAAGGACUCAAACUCAUUACAGGCUAGGUACUCUUCAUUUUUAUUUGGUAUAUAAUUCUGUCCUUUUUUUUUUUAUGUCAAAGGAAGAAAUGUAUGUGAACGCCUCUUACAAACCAGAGAGCACUAUACAGUCAUAUAACUUAUUGAGAUUAACAAAGGACCUCUGUGCCUCUUUUCAUGCUUUCUGCUCCUUCUGAGCCAAAAGAACUUCUCCGGAGAGGAGGGAAAUAUUGAAGAAAAAUAAAGCAAUGGAGUUGUCUCUUA